UCACCCGCUGAGUUUAAGCAUAUCAAUAAGCGGAGGAAAAGAAACUUACGAGGAUUCCCCUAGUAACGGC
rnacentral:rRNA from 1 species